rnacentral:rRNA from 1 species
UGGCAUCAGGAGCCGAAGAAGGACGUGACAAGCUGCGAUAAGCUUCGGGGAGGUGCAAAUAACCGUCGAUCCGGAGAUUUCCGAAUGGGGAAACCCGGCAGAGCAAUACUCUGUCAGCGUGCGUUGAAUGAAAUAGGCGUACGUGGGGAACCGCCUGAACUGAAACAUCUAAGUAGGGCGAGGAAGAGAAAUCAACCGAGAUUCUGUGAGUAGUGGCGAGCGAAAGCGGAAGAGGCUAAACCAUAGGUAGCAAUACUUAUGGGGUUUCGGACAGCAUUUAGUAUUGAUAAUUUCUAGUUGAAACGUGUGGGAAAACGUACCGAAGAGUGUGAGAGUCACGUAAGCGAAAGAGAAAGUCAGCGAGCUGUAUCCAAAGUACCGCGGGACACGUGAAACCCCGUGGGAAGAUGGGGGGACCAUCCUCCAAGCCUAAAUACUACCUAAUGACCGAUAGCGAAUAGUACUGUGAAGGAACGGUGAAAAGAACCCCGGGAGGGGAGUGAAAAAGAACCUGAAACCCUAUGUUUACAAGCACCGAGAGCACGUCAAAGUGUGAUCGGGUACCUUUUGUAGAAUGGUCCGGCGAGUGAAUGUAACUGGCGAGGUUAAGUUCUUAAGGAACGGAGCCGAAGCGAAAGCAAGUCUGAAUAGGGCGUCUUAGUCAGUUGUAUUCGACCCGAAACCGGGUGACCUAUCCAUGUCCAGGAUGAAGUUAAGGUAAAACUUGAUGGAGGUCCGAACCCACGGUCGUUGAAAUGCCCGGGGAUGAGAUGUGGAUAGCGGAGAAAUUCCAAUCGAACCCGGAUAUAGCUGGUUCUCUCCGAAAUAGCUUUAGGGCUAGCCUCGACUGAACAUUACCGGAGGUAGAGCACUGAAUGGGCUAGGGGCCGAGAGGUUACUGAACCCUAUCAAACUUCAAAUGCCGGAAAAUGAUAGUCGGGAGUCAGACUGCGUGAGAUAAGUUUCGUAGUCGAAAGGGAAACAGCCCAGACCCACAGCUAAGGUCCCAAAGUACGGUUAAGUGGAAAAGGAUGUGGAGUUGCACAGACAACCAGGAUGUUGGCUUAGAAGCAGCCACUCAUUAAAAGAGUGCGUAAUAGCUCACUGGUCGAGUGACUCUGCGCCGAAAAUUUAACGGGGCUAAAUCGUACACCGAAGCUUGGGAAUAUCAGUUAUUCUUCAUGGACUUGCAAGGAAAGAGACCAUGGCACGAAGUGCCAUCAAAUUGUCCAUAAGGAUAAAGCGAGCUUGUGAAGAAUAACUGAUAUUGGUAGGAGAGCGUUGAAUGCGGGGUGAAGUCAGAGCGAAAGCGCUGGUGGACUGCAUUGAAGUGAGAAUGCCGGAAUGAGUAGCGAGAUUUAUGUGAGAAUCAUAAAGGCCGAAAGACUAAGGUUUCAGAAGGAAGGUUCGUCCGCUUCUGGUUAGCCGGGAGCUAAGGUGAGGCCGAAAGGCGUAGCCGAUGCACAUACGGUGGAGAUUCCGUAGCCGUCGAAAUAUUUAAGCAAAGGGACACUUAUGAAGGACAUGACCCGGGCGAUGGUAGCCCCGGGCGUAAGGGACUGAAAACAAGUAAGGAAGCAUGUUUGGAUUAAGGCGAGAAAAGCUUUGUGUAUAUAUGAGACGUCCGUACCGCAAACCGACACAGGUAGUCAGGAAGAGGAUUCUAAGGCCAACGGGAGAAGGGUAGUUAAGGAACUCGGCAAAUUGACCCCGUAACUUCGGGAUAAGGGGCGGUGCGUAAGCACCCGCAGUGAAUAGGUCCAGGCGACUGUUUAUCAAAAACACAGCUCUCUGCUAAAUCGAAAGAUGACGUAUAGGGGGUGACACCUGCCCGGUGCUGGAAGGUUAAGAGGAGGAGUGCAAGCUCCGAAUUGAAGCCCCAGUAAACGGCGGCCGUAACUAUAACGGUCCUAAGGUAGCGAAAUUCCUUGUCGGGUAAGUUCCGACCCGCACGAAUGGUGUAACGAUCUGGACGCUGUCUCAACUGCCCACCCGGCGAAAUUGUAGUACCGGUGAAGAUGCCGGUUACCCGCGGCAAGACGGAAAGACCCCAUGGAGCUUUACUGUAACUUGAUAUUGGGUCUUGGUAUUCUAUGUACAGGAUAGGCGGGAGACUAUGAAACAUACACGCCAGUGUAUGCGGAGUCACCCUUGGGAUACCGCUCUUAGAGUACUGAGAUUCUAACCUGCGGCCGUGAAUCCGGUCGGGGGACAUUGUCAGGUGGGCAGUUUGACUGGGGCGGUCGCCUCCUAAAAGGUAACGGAGGCGCUCAAAGGUUAGCUCAGCACGGUCGGAAACCGUGCCUCUGAGUGCAAACGCAAAAGCUAGCCUAACUGCGAGGCUGACGGGCCGAGCAGUAACGAAAGUUGGAGUUAGUGAUCCGGCGGUAUGUGAAUGGAAAUGCCGUCGCUCAACGGAUAAAAGCUACCCUGGGGAUAACAGGCUGAUCUCCCCCAAGAGUCCACAUCGACGGGGA